GCCUUCGUAGUGUAACGGUAGCACGCUCGGCGCGUAUACGAGAGGUCCAGGUUCGAGUCCCGGUGAAAACG
rnacentral:tRNA from 1 species